GAAGGCCUAUGAUGAUUUAAAUAUUGCCUACAUUGUCUGAUUUCCUUGUAUGACUGGAGGAUUAGAGAAUUUCUGAGGCCAGU